UACGGGGGGAGCAAGCGUUGUUCGGAUUUACUGGGCGUAAAGAGCUCGUAGGCGGUUUGGUAAGUCUGGUGUGAAAUCUCCACGCUCAACGUGGAGGGGCCACCCGAUACUGCCAUGACUGGAGUCCGGUAGAGGAGUGUGGAAUUCCCGGUGUAGCGGUGAAAUGCGCAGAUAUCGGGAAGAACACCCGUGGCGAAGGCGGCUCUCUGGGACGGUACUGACGCUGAGACGCGAAAGCGUGGGGAGCGAACAGG
rnacentral:rRNA from 1 species